GUGUUGUAUGAAAGGAGAGAAGGUUAGCACUCUCCUUGAAGG
ensembl:snRNA